CAGGGAGACAACAAAAUGUUUAAUAUUAUUUUGUCACCUUAGGUCGAUCGGUAUCUCACGUUUUUAAUUUAUUAAGAAUUUCAUUUCCUAAGUUUUUCUAGGUCACACCCAUUAUUUUUCCUGGGCCAUUAGCUCAGGUGGUUAGAGCGCACCCCUGAUAAGGGUGAGGUCCCUGGUUCAAGUCCAGGAUGGCCCAUAUCUCUAUGUUGGGGGUAUAGCUCAGUUGGUAGAGCGCCUGCUUUGCAAGCAGGAUGUCAGCGGUUCGAGUCCGCUUACCUCCACUGAUUACCACCUCUUCCAUAAUUUGUAAGAAGGAAAAAAUUUUUUGAGUUGUGACCAAAUUCUGAACGAAUCUAGCUUCCUAAUGAAAUUAUUAAGAUGCUGGACUCAUUGAAUUUAUUUCAUUGUUUUCAGAGAACCUUGACAACUGCAUAGAUUAUUUUUAAAGACAAUAAGCAUCUUUAAUGAUGCAGAUUUAUUAUUUGUGCGAAUGCAUUAAUAACAAUUCUAUUAAGCUGAUGCUUCAAUUAUUGAAGUUAUU
rnacentral:tRNA from 1 species